AACGGCAGGACAACAUUCUAACCCACAUAAAUUGCCUAUGUCAGCAAAGGUCUCGGUGGACCCACAUCGUCGGGUCGACGAUGCACUUUGAGGGGGAGAGAUGUAACGGGAGUCACCUGUAGGUGUCUCUAUACCCAUUGUUCAGGGGGUUUAAAAAGGAAGUUGACGUGUGGUUGCUAUGGCGCUAGCUUCCUGUGAGAAAGCUGGUGAGCUCAGAGAGCAGCGUGAGUUGGCUCGAGCAAAGAGUGCGGAUCACGGCAGAGGUAGAUCCUGCUUUUCUGGGGGUUUUAAAGACUGGGCGUGAGGUUUUGCGACGCACCAGGUAUUUUACACUUUUAUCACAGCAGAGGUAGAUUUUAAACAAAUGGUAAAUUAUUUUUUAUCAAAUGUUUUUAAUAUGGUGCUUCUUCUGUUUUUAGUGUUGGAAUACUGUGCCCUGCUGUCCUGUUUAAGUUUAUGUUUUGUACUUUGUUUGUCCGCUCCUGCCGGAGCUGUCCCAGCGUGAUUGACUAAUCAAGUGCAGGAGCGGACUAUUUACCCUCUGUUCUGUUUGUCAUUUUUUUAGUCACUUCCCUCAGGUUUCACCCCGCAUGUUAUUUUGGUGGGUGCCGUAUCCCACCGAGUGCUGUGUAUCACAGUUACGUUGCAUGUUUUUAUUUUUUAUUGUUGUGCAUGAACUGUGGUUUUUUUUGUCUGCAUGCUCCUGUGGUGUCAUUGAUACGGUCAACAUUUUUAUUCUACUCAUGACGGGGUUUUUGUAUUAAUAAAUCUUCGUAACCUGCUUUGUGGUAGUUUUCCCUUUCUUGGCCCCUGCAACAUUGAGAACAAAUGAUCACCUUAUAGAUAGACAAAGAGACUCAGUGAGUAAAUAAAGAACUUCAGGGGUGUGUAAAGCAGCAAAGAUUGGCUGAGAAAAAGUGGGACAGAGAGAAGAUAAAAGACCAUCAAUCUGUUUGCUUUGUCACAAAGCACAUGGACGACAGAAAAAGCAAAUCUCUACAGGGUAGAGGACUAACACCAGUGAGUGGUUGAUGCUUAAUAAAUGAAAGUGCAAUUUCCUGCCUUAAAUGAGGAAAACCACAUUAUUUCUGUACAUUUCUGUGCCGUUCUGUUGCAGCAAAAUCAGCUAAAGUCAUUUGAAGAAAAGAAGCAAAAAUGUAUGUACAUUUUUGCUUCUACCUCUUUUCAAAAAACCUUAUAGCUUCCGAUGGAGAUGUGAACAUCUGAAGAUCCGGAUGGAGAUAUCCUGGAAAAACAAAUUGUUAAUUUGUUCAGUGCAACCUACUGAACAGGUAAGUCCAGUCUUUUACCAAGACAUGACGUUAAAAACAAACCCCUCCCCUGGAUCAGCCCUUAAAAAAGCACGAUAACAGAGGAGGACAGCUUUUUUCUGUCCUCAAAGCUACAAUGGAGGAACUAUGUGGGUGAUCACUGUUUUAAUCUUAUACUUCACAUCUGAUAAACUGAAUUAUUACAUCCUGGAAAAACAAACAUUUUUAAUGUUUUUUCUUUGAUUGCUCCACAGGUAAAGCUGUUCUCAUGGCUGGAGGAGGUGUUGCUGCUGUGGUUCUGACCCCUGCUGUUAUAGCUGCACUGGGUUUCUCAGCAGCUGGAAUAGUAGCAGGAUCCAUCGCUGCAAAACUGAUGGCAUUAUUUUCAACAGGAGGAUUCGUGCCAGGUUUCAUAGCACUCCUACAAUCAUUUGGCGCGAUUGGUUUUUCUUGGAGUGGCUUAACGCUAACUUUUGGUACUGGAAGUGUUUUGGGAAACAUGAUAUCAAGCAUCUGCAACCAAACUGGACAUGACUUUCCACCAGCUCCUUAGAUGUUUAUGUUAUAAUGGUAAAUGGUCAAUCGCUUAACUUUGCACCACGAAUUCCCCACAGUCAUAAUGUAAACAAAUGAAUGUUCUUCCAGAAUUUUCUGAAUAUAUUUCCUGUUAUAUUUGUGAUUUUCUGACUUUCAGAAGGAAAUAAAAUGAGAACAAUUAAA